rnacentral:rRNA from 1 species
CCUACGGGAGGCAGCAGUGGGGGAUAUUGCACAAUGGGGGGAACCCUGAUGCAGCGACGCCGCGUGAGUGAAGAAGUGUUUCGGUGUGUAAAGCUCUGUCAGCAGGGAAGAAAAUGACGGUACCUGGCUAAGAAGCCCCGGCUAACUACGUGCCAGCAGCCGCGGUAAUACGGAGGGGGCAAGCGUUAUCCGGAUUUACUGGGGGUAAAGGGAGCGUAGACGGCAGUACAAGUCUGGAGUGAAAUGCCGGGGCCUAACCCCGGAACUGCUUUGGAAACUGGGGAGCUAGAGUGCAGGAGAGGUAAGUGGAAUUCCUGGUGUAGCGGUGAAAUGCGUAGAUAUUAGGAGGAACACCGGUGGCGAAGGCGGCCUACUGGACUGUAACUGACGUUGAGGCCCGAAAGCGUGGGGAGCAAACAGGAUUAGAUACCCGGGUAGUC